CUCUUGUUUGCGAGUAUAAAAAGAGUGAAAGUCCUGCAGUGUGGAUCCGAUGCAGUUACUCACAUACAUAUCAGGUUGUCUUGGCCAUCAUCGUCUCUCUUUCUCUCAUUUUCUUUCUUUCUUUCUUUCUUUUUUU